UUUUCUUUUUCUUUAUUUUUUUUCUUUUUCUUUUCACAUUGUAUACACAAAACAGAUGUUUCUCUUUUCUAAUUUUUUUUUCUUUCAAUGCUUGCUCGGUUUUUCAAGAGUUGUGGCACUUACCGAUUCUCAUUUUCGUUCUCCCCAACUUAUCUUUUACUCACCCAAAGUGAAUGCUCUUGACUUUUUACGGCAAAAGAAUAAUUAUCAAAAAUUUCCGGGUUUCAAGAAAAAAGAAUUUGACAUCUCGCCUUAUUUCCAGCAGAG
rnacentral:lncRNA from 1 species